GGGCCUGUAGCUCAAUUGGUUAGAGCCGACCGCUCAUAACGGUCUGGUUG
rnacentral:tRNA from 1 species